CAAGUCGAACGCGAAAGUUUCCUUCGGGAAACAAGUAGAGUGGCGCACGGGUGAGUAACACGUAGGUAAUCUACCUUCGGAUGGGGAAUAACAACCGGAAACGGUUGCUAAUACCGCAUAAUGCAGCGGCACCUAAUGGUGACAGUUGUUAAAGCGGGGGAUCGAAAGACCUCGCGUCUGAAGAGGAGCCUGCGGCGGAUUAGCUAGUUGGUAAGGUAACGGCUUACCAAGGCUACGAUCCGUAACCGGCCUGAGAGGGCGGUCGGUCACACUGACACUGACAUACGGGUCAGACUCCUACGGGAGGCAGCAGUCGGGAAUUUUGGGCAAUGGGCGAAAGCCUGACCCAGCAACGCCGCGUGAAGGAUGAAAUCCCUCGGGAUGUAAACUUCGCAAGAACGGGAAGAAUAAGUAGGGGACAAUACCCCCUAUGAUGACGGUACCGUUUGUAAGCUCCGGCUAACUCCGUGCCAGCAGCCGCGGUAAUACGGGGGGAGCAAGCGUUGUUCGGAUUUACUGGGCGUAAAGGGCGCGUAGGCGGUCAGCACAAGUCAGUUGUGAAAUCUCCGAGCUUAACUCGGAAAGGUCAACUGAUACUGUGCGACUAGAGUGCGGAAGGGGCAACUGGAAUUCUUGGUGUAGCGGUGAAAUGCGUAGAUAUCAAGAGGAACACCUGCGGCGAAGGCGGGUUGCUGGGCCGACACUGACGCUGAGGCGCGAAAGCCAGGGGAGCGAACGGGAUUAGAUACCCCGGUAGUCCUGGCCUUAAACGAUGAAUGCUUGGUGUCUGGGGUUAUAAAGUCCCCGGGUGCCGUC
rnacentral:rRNA from 1 species